rnacentral:rRNA from 1 species
AGAGUUUGAUCCUGGCUCAGAGCGAACGCUGGCGGCAGGCCUAACACAUGCAAGUCGAGCGGCCGUAGCAAUACGGCAGCGGCAGACGGGAGAGUAACACGUGGGAACGCGCCCUUCGGUUCGGAAUAACUCAGGGAAACUUGGGCUAAUACCGGAUACGCCCUUACGGGGAAAGAUUUAUUGCCGAAGGAACGGCCCGCGUCCGAUUAGCUUGUUGGUGAGGUAACGGCUCACCAAGGCGACGAUCGGUAGCUGGUCUGAGAGGAUGACCAGCCUCACUGGGACUGAGACACGGCCCAGACUCCUACGGGAGGCAGCAGUGGGGAAUAUUGGACAAUGGGCGCAAGCCUGAUCCAGCCAUGCCGCGUGGGUGAUGAAGGCCCUAGGGUUGUAAAGCCCUUUCGGCGGGGAAGAUAAUGACGGUACCCGCAGAAGAAGCCCCGGCUAACUUCGUGCCAGCAGCCGCGGUAAUACGAAGGGGGCUAGCGUUGCUCGGAAUUACUGGGCGUAAAGCGCACGUAGGCGGCUUCUUAAGUCGGUGGUGAAAUCCUGGAGCUUAACUCCAGAACUGCCUUCGAUACUGGGGAGCUCGAGU